UUGCCCUAGUAACGGCGAGUGAAGCGGCAACAGCUCAAAUUUGAAAUCUGCCUUCGGGCCGAGUUGUAAUUUGUAGAGGAAGCUUUUGGUGAGGCACCUUCUGAGUCCCCUGGAACGGGGCGCCAUAGAGGGUGAGAGCCCCGUAUAGUCGGAUGCCGAUCCAAUGUAAAGCUCCUUCGACGAGUCGAGUAGUUUGGGAAUGCUGCUCAAAAUGGGAGGUAAAUUUCUUCUAAAGCUAAAUACCGGCCAGAGACCGAUAGCGCACAAGUAGAGUGAUCGAAAGAUGAAAAGCACCUUGAAAAGGGGGUUAAAUAGCACGUGAAAUUGUUGAAAGGGAAGCGUUUGCGGCCAGACUUGCGCCGCCCCGAUCAUCCGGUGUUCUCACCGGUGCACUCGGGGCGGCGCAGGCCAGCAUCGGUUUCGGCGGGGGGAUAAAGGUCCAGGGAACGUAGCUCCUUCGGGAGUGUUACAGCCCUGGGCGUAAUGCCCUCGCCGGGACCGAGGUUCGCGCAUCUGCAAGGAUGCUGGCGUAAUGGCCGCCAACGACCCGUCUUGAAACACGGACCAAGGAGUCAAGGUUUUGCGCGAGUGUUUGGGUGUAAAACCCGCACGCGUAAUGAAAGUGAACGUAGGUGAGAGCUUCGGCGCAUCAUCGACCGAUCCUGAUGUAUUCGGAUGGAUUUGAGUAAGAGCGUUAAGCCUUGGACCCGAAAGAUGGUGAACUAUGCUUGGAUAGGGUGAAGCCAGAGGAAACUCUGGUGGAGGCUCGCAGCGGUUCUGACGUGCAAAUCGAUCGUCAAAUCUGAGCAUGGGGGCGAAAGACUAA
rnacentral:rRNA from 1 species